rnacentral:lncRNA from 1 species
AAGAAUUAGUUGGAAGUGUUAUGCAUUUCUGCAUCACAACAAAAGGUAAUAUGCAUGAUCAUAAAUAGUUUAUGUUAAUUUUUUAUGUGAUACCAUAUGUAGUUGUUCAUACGCUUUCAAGCACUUCAUUAUAUGGAUGUGUUUACCGUUAUUUUUGGUAAAUCAAAUCACAAGUUUUUUUUUUCCUUAUAGAAUUAAACUCGAAAAAAA